GGGCUUGUGGUGCAGUGGUUAGCAUACUCGCUUUGGGAACAUGAUUCUGCGAGUGGUCCCAGGUUCGAACCCUGGCUGGCCCC